AAACAAGUCUCUCCUGUAGGAGAAAAGAAGAAGAGUCUGGAAAAUCAUGUCAACUGCCAAUUUUUGUUCUAAAGACUCCUUUUAGAGAAUGGCAUGUUCUAAAAUGAGAGCAGAUGGGAAGGGGACGUCAAGAGUGCGAUGCUGUGAAUGGCCAAGUGGCUCUGCCAGCAGGGGAAGCCUAGAAAGGCUCGCUAGCAGAGGAGACCCUGGGCCUAAGCUGUGACAGACGAUGGGGGGCAGCAGGGGCAUUGUGUCGGAGAGCUGACGCCAGCCAGAGGGAGCUGCACCAA